AGAGACAGACUGGCAUUGGCUGGAGGGGUCCUGAGAGGCUGUCAGACACGGUGGUAAUCAGCUUCACUUGUACACUGGCAUCCCCCAAGGAGCUUAAAAAUUCUGAUGCCUGGGUUCUGUCUCCCUGGAUUCUGAUUCAAUUCGUCUGUGGUGGACCCUGGGUGUGCACAUCUCAUCUGCUUGUCCUCCUAAUGUGGCUGUGACCCUCCGCUUAGACCAUGCUGUUAACAGGGAGCUCAUUCUCAAGCUCCUGAGAAGCCCUCUCCACUCUUGGAGAUACCAGUCCCCUCACUGGGUGAUCAUAAGGACUGAAGACGAUGCAUACUAAUGACAACCAGGAUGACCAUGAUGAUUAAUGUGAAUUUGGAUAUUUAUUAUGGGACAGACUUUGUGCAAAGUGUGCCCUUUAGCUCACAUACAUCACCGGAGUAUGCUUGGCACAUGGUAGAGUACAGCUGUCUAAGCAGAUGGGGGUGUGGAGUGGCACACCACCGUCUACUGGAUCCCCUCCCAGGGACCUGGAACAGCUCAUCUUCCUCACCAAGUGCUCUCCCACCUAUCUUCGCCUACCCCACCAGUCCCCACCUCUCUCCAUCAGGGCAUCUCUUCUGCCCUGAGCCCAGGGAAAGUAUAUGAUGGACAUCGACUCUUCUCAUCGUUCCCAUUGCCCCUCACAGUCCAGCAAAUGCACUUCAUCAACAAACCUCUCCACUGGAGACCUCAGGAGGAGCUAGAAGAUCAGAGGUGUACUGGAGGGGCUGCUGCUGCUGCCCUGAGCAUGUCAGGUGAUUAUAUAAGCUCUGUGCCAGACCUCCUGCAUGCUGCAACUCUGGGUUCAUGAUUGUUUCUGGCAAGGAAUCAGAUUCGAAACUUCUCCCUCUUUUAUUUAGUAAGAGGGAAGAGAAGUGCCACCCAGCUGAGCAUCUUGCUGUUUGGGUUGAGCUUUAGGACUUGGGGGGGGUGGUAAUUCCCAUCCAUAUGAGGAAAUUUUGUAUCUCAAAAACAGUAGUGUUUGCUGGAUAAUAAAUAUGACAUGCCUGCUUAAAUUUGAACUGCAGAUAAGCAAUAGAUUAAUUUUUUGGUAGAAGUAUAUAUGAUGCAAUAUUUGGAACAUAUUUCUAUUAAAAAUAUUUAUCUGAUGUGCAAAUUUACCUGGACAUCCUGUAUAUUAUCUAGCAACCUUAGAGUAAUUGGGCUUCUGUCUACCCUUCAGAUGCCAGGUCACUUAUGAUUUUUGAAAAAACAUUUGAGAGAGAGUAUGUGUAAAAGAGCACAAUCAAGGGGAAGGGCAGAGAGGGAGAAGCAGGUUCCCUACUUAGCAGGGAGUCCGAUGUGUGGCACCAUCCCAGGAUCCCAUUUAUGAUGAUGUGAAAGAUACCUGAGAAUAAGGGGGACCCCAUUUAUGAUGUGAAAGACACCUGGGAAUAACGGAGAUUUACAUGUAAUUUCCUGGCUGCAUACUAGUUUUGUAUUCAUAGCUCUUUGUGAAGUUAUUUAGACUCCUGGUUCUCAAAACAUAGUCCUGGACCAGAAAUGUCAGCAUCACCUAGUAUUUGGUAGAAAUGCAAAUAAAUUGCCAUGUCUCAUCUCGGCCAAUGAAUCAGACACUCUGGGGGGUGGGGCUCGCAAUCUGUCCAACAAACCCUCCAGGUGAUGCUGAUUCAGUUUGAGAACCAGAA